CCUACGGGAGGCAGCAGUGGGGAAUAUUGCGCAAUGGAGGAAACUCUGAUGCAGCGACGCCGCGUGAGUGAGGAAGUCUUUCGGUAUGUAAAGCUCUAUCAGCAGGGAAGAAAAUGACGCUACCUGACUUAGAAACCCCGGCUAACUACGUGCCAGCAGCCGCGGUAAUACGUGGGGGGCAAGCGUUAUCCGGGUUUACUGGGUGUAAAGGGAGCGUAGACGGUUAAUCAAGUCAGAAGUGAAAACCCAGGGCUCAACCUUGGGACUGCUUUUGAAACUGAGUAGCUAGAGUGCAGGAGAGGUAAGCGGAAUUCCUAGGGUAGCGGUGAAAUGCGUAGAUAUUAGGAGGAACACCAGUGGCGAAGGCGGAUUACUGGACUGUAACUGACGGUGAGGCGCGAAAGCGUGGGGAACAAACAGGAUUAGAUACCCCUGUAGUC
rnacentral:rRNA from 1 species